GAACCCAUACCAAAUUGAUCACUAGGAUUGGACUGGGUUUGAGUGUGGGAGAAUGAUUGCUCUGACAAAGAUAAAUCAGAAUACGAUGGAGGAGGCUGAUAUGGAUAUGGAUUUGAGUAUUCCCAUUGAAAAUUUCCUCUAUAUCCAUAAUCACUAGUAGAGGUUGCUUCCAUUGAAGAUUCACUUGUACCAUAAGUUCCAUAUCCAUAAUUAUCUGUAUCCAUAGAACACUCUCCAUGUGCAACACCUUUUCCCUUAUCACUGCUACCAUCAGAACCACGGGAUCUGUGAUAUGUAUGUUGCAAAGUUGGAGCUGGAGAUGGAGAUGGAGAUGGACUAUGCCUCUGAUAUGAAGAGGGAUCAUCAUGUGAUUGUAAUGAACUAGUAGCUCCAUGACCUUCACCUCUUCCACCCUGACCACUAC
rnacentral:lncRNA from 1 species